UACGUAGGGUGCAAGCGUUGUCCGGAAUUAUUGGGCGUAAAGAGCUCGUAGGCGGUGUGUCACGUCGGCCGUGAAAACCUGCAGCUUAACUGUGGCGUGCGGUCGAUACGGGCAUCACUGGAGUUCGGGCAGGGGAGACUGGAAUUCCUGGUGUAGCGGUGAAAUGCGCAGAUAUCAGGAGGGAACACCGGUGGCGAAGGCGGGUCUCUGGGCCG
rnacentral:rRNA from 1 species